AUUGAACGCUGGCGGCAGGCCUAACACAUGCAAGUCGAACGAGUGGCGGACGGGUGAGUAAUGUCUGGGAAACUGCCUGAUGGAGGGGGAUAACUACUGGAAACGGUAGCUAAUACCGCAUACCAUCGGAUGUGCCCAGAUGGGAUUAGCUAGUAGGUGGGGUAACGGCUCACCUAGGCGACGAUCCCUAGCUGGUCUGAGAGGAUGACCAGCCAGACUGGAACUGAGACACGGUCGAGACUCCUACGGGAGGCAGCGGUGGGGAAGAUUGCACAAUGGGCGCAAGCCUGAUGCAGCCAUGCCGCGUGUAUGAAGAAGGCCUUCGGGUUGUAAAGGACUUUCAGCGGGGAGGCGUUACCAACAGAAUAAGCGCCGGCUAACGUCGUGCCAGCAGCCGCGGUAAUUC
rnacentral:rRNA from 1 species